GGUUUUGCUGUUAAUCACAUCCAGGACUGAACCAUGUUCAUUGACGUCUCUUUCUGCUGAUGUCAGUAAACUCCAGGUUUGCAAUUCGAUUUGUGUUGGAUAUUGAAGCGAAUCUGAUUUCAAAAUGAGGACAUUAAAUCCAGGAAUUAAUCCUGAGGAAAAUGGAUCACACUGUUUGGAAGGAUGUGGAGCUGAGAAGCGGAAGCUGUGAAUGAAGUUAUUGAUGAUUGAAUGGAUAGCAUUGGGUACUUGUUUAACAUCAUGGCCGUGUGGUUAAGUAGAUGGUUUUAAAAUUCAUUGGGGUUUCAUCAGAUGCAGCCAGACCAGCUGAAUCUUUCCACACUGUUUUUAUUUCGGAUUUCCAGCAUCUGCAGUAUUUUUCCUUUAUACUUGUGAACUGGUUGGUGUCUUUGCAGCGUGGAUGAACGACCAAAUGACUUGCCACACUCAGAAUAUGAGAACAGCCUCUCCCCUGUGUAAAUUCACUAGUGUAGAGUGAGGUCAGAUGAUUUCCUGAAUCCAGACCCACAAUGAGAGCACCUUAAUGGUCAUUUGUGAGUGUGAACACAUUGAUGCGACAACAGUUCUCUGAAACAUUUCUAACACUGGCUGCAAUCUGGGCAUUUAAAAGGCCACAUCAGUGUGAACUUGCUGGUGUGUCUGCAGAUGGGACAACUGAGUGAAUAUCUUUCCACACUUGGAGCAGGUGAAUGGUCUCUCCCCAGUGUGACUGCACUUGUCGAAUAUGGUCCCUUGACUGCCUGCACCCAAUCCCACAGUAAACCAUCUGAAUGGUCUCUGGUCAGUGUGGGCACUUUGGUGGGACAUCAAUUCCCCACAGCUUUGAAAGCACUUCUCACACUCUGGGCAUUACAAACGUCUCUCGUCAGUGUGAAUGCGCUGGUAUCUCAGCGGGUGGAAUGAUGUCCUGAACCUCUUACCACACUGUGAGCAGAUGAACAGCCUCUCCCCAGUGUGAAUUCACUGUUUCAGCAGGUCAGUCCAGGAUAGAAAUUGAGAAGAAGACAAACAUUUCUCUUGGUUUGAGUUUGCUGAAUGUAAAUCCUCCCCUUCUAACCCCCUGUAAAAGGAGUUUCCAAACACUCGGUGUGAACUCAGCUCCGGGAGUUUCUAAUCCGGGUGUGGAGUCCUACACCGGGUGUUUGUGAACCCUCCCAGUCCACCCUCAGCUCCAUUCCUCUCCUGCACUCGGCCCUUUCUCACCCGCUGGACUGUCACCCGACAGUUUCCAUCCAGGUUAAAAGCAAAAAACUGCGGAUGCUGGAAAUCCAAAACAAAAACAAAAAUCCCCAGAAAAACUCAGCAUGACUCUCAUGCGGACUCGGAACGUUAACUAUGCUCCUCUCCGCAGAUGCUGCCAGAGUUUUUCCAGGUGUUUUUGUUUUGAGUUUCCAUCCAGGUCCCGCACCAUCACUGCGCAUGCUCCACACACCCGGCUCCGCCCCUUCAUUCAUUCCGAUUGGCUGGAGGACCAGUCGGUCCCGCACCAUCAGUCACCCCCGCCCCCUCUUCCUAUUGGCCCAGAGCUGCUGUCAGUCAUUAUGAGUUGGAGCAUGCGCGGUCCGUGGAGGCAGACGGGGAGACAGCUCGAGCGAACGGAUUUAAAAUGAGGAUUUUAGAAAGAACGAGUGCGGACCCAGAGCCGAAAACAAACCCAUGAACAGAGAGAAGGCUGGUGGGUGAGAAAGAAGGGGAAUGGGAAUUGGUGGAGAAUCGAGAGUUCCCGAAUGUUACCCCUCCCGCCUGGUACAGAAAUUCCCUCGGCACGGGAAUGGAGACAAGUUCAAUCCAAGUAAUGGACUGGUGUUAGAAAGCGAGGAUUUGCAGUUGGGAAACUCAAUCCAAACAUCAUAUCAGGAUCUGAUGCAGUCGCCCAAUUUAUCGUAACCUGAAUGUCGUUGGAUUUUGAACAUGGAAGGAAAAAGCACCGUUCACAGUGGGGAGAAAUCGUACACGUGUUCUGUGUGUGGACGAGGCUUCAGCCGAUCAUCUGGCCCAGUCAGAACAUAAAUGCAGUUACAAUGAGGAGAAACCAUGGAAAUGUGGAGACUGUGGAAAAGGAUUCAAUUACCCAUCUGACCUGGAAACACAUCGGCGCAGUCACACUGGGGAGAGACCGUUCACCUGCCCUGAGUGUGGGAAGGGAUUCACUACCUCCUCCCACCUGCUGACACACCAGCGAGUUCACACUGGGGAGAGGCCAUUCACCUGCCCUGACUGUGGGAAGGGAUUCAUUGAUUCAUCCAACCUGCGGAAUCACCUGGAAAUUCACACUAGCCAGAGGCUGUUCACCUGCUCCAAGUGUGGAAAGAGAUUCAUUCAGUCAUCCCACUUGCUGAAACAUCAGCGAACUCACAGUGGGGAGAGACCUUUUAAAUGUCCAGAUUGCGGAAGUGCUAUAAAAGCUCCAGAGACCUGAUGUCCCAUCAGCGAGUUCACACUGACGAGAGACCUUUUAAAUGUCCAGACUGCGGGAAGUGUUUUAAAAGUUCUGGGGAAGUGAUGUUCCAUCAACGUGUUCACACUGAUGAGAGACCAUUCAGGUGUUCUCACUGUGGGGCUGGGUUCAGGCUAUCAUCUAACCUCACUGUACACCAGCGAGUUCACACUGGGGAGAGGCCGUUCACCUGUUCUGAGUGUGGGAAGAGAUUCACUCAGUCAUUCCACCUGCUGACACAUCAGCGAGUUCACACCGGGGA